GUUGGUGGUUUGACGCGGUGGGUACACCUGGUCCCAUUCCGAACCCAGUAGUUAAGCACCGUAGUGGCGAUGGUACUUCUUUGGAGGGAGAGUAGCUAGCCGCCAACA
rnacentral:rRNA from 1 species